rnacentral:tRNA from 1 species
GCCUCGAUAGCUCAGGGGUUAGAGCGAGCGUCUCAUAAGCGCUAGGUCGUGGGUUCGAAUCCCACUCGAGGCA